UAGGGAAUCUUCGGCAAUGGGGGGAACCCUGACCGAGCAACGCCGCGUGAGUGAAGAAGGUUUUCGGAUCGUAAAGCUCUGUUGUUAAGGAAGAACGAGUGUGAGAAUGGAAAGUUCAUACUGUGACGGUACUUAACCAGAAAGGGACGGCUAACUACGUGCCAGCAGCCGCGGUAAUACGUAGGUCCCGAGCGUUGUCCGGAUUUAUUGGGCGUAAAGCGAGCGCAGGCGGUCAAUUAAGUCUGAUGUGAAAGCCCCCGGCUCAACCGGGGAGGGUCAUUGGAAACUGGUGGACUUGAGUGCAGAAGAGGUGAGUGGAAUUCCAUGUGUAGCGGUGAAAUGCGUAGAUAUAUGGAGGAACACCAGUGGCGAAGGCGACUCUCUGGUCUGUAACUGACGCUGAGGCUCGAAAGCGUGGGUAGCAAACAGG
rnacentral:rRNA from 1 species